GGGAGUUUGGUCUAGUGUGUGUGAUUCUCGCUUAGGGUGCCGAGAUGUCGUGGGUUCAAUUCCUGCAACACCCU
rnacentral:tRNA from 1 species